rnacentral:rRNA from 1 species
GACGAACGCUGGCGGCGUGCUUAACACAUGCAAGUCGAACGGAAAGGCCCUGCUUUUGUGGGGUGCUCGAGUGGCGAACGGGUGAGUAACACGUGAGUAACCUGCCCUUGACUUUGGGAUAACUUCAGGAAACUGGGGCUAAUACCGGAUAGGAGCUCCUGCUGCAUGGUGGGGGUUGGAAAGUUUCGGCGGUUGGGGAUGGACUCGCGGCUUAUCAGCUUGUUGGUGGGGUAGUGGCUUACCACGGCUUUGACGGGUAGCCGGCCUGAGAGGGUGACCGGCCACAUUGGGACUGAGAUAAGGCCCAGACUCCUACGGGAGGCAGCAGUGGGGAAUAUUGCACAAUGGGCGGAAGCCUGAUGCAGCAACGCCGCGUGCGGGAUGACGGCCUUCGGGUUGUAAACCGCUUUCGCCUGUGACGAAGCGUGAGUGACGGUAAUGGGUAAAGAAGCACCGGCUAACUACGUG